rnacentral:lncRNA from 1 species
GUUGGAGUUAGUUGAGGGUUUGUCCUAUCAAUUCCACAUUCAAUAAGUUUAGAGGCUUUCAGACUAGUACAGACAGUUAGUUAGUUUUCAGUUAUUAUUAUCAGUUGUUUUAUUAGUAUUUCCAGUACAUUUUUAGACAUUUAAAACCAUGAUUCAGUAUUAUUUUCAGAUACUAAAACCUUAUGGCAUUUUCAAAUAAUUUCCACAUA